UAUAUACUCCCUCCGUCCGGAAAUACUUGUCGGAGGAAUGGAUGUAUCUAAGUAUAUUUUAGUUCUAGAUACAUCUAUUUUUACCAAUUUAUCCGACAAGUAUUUCCGGCUGCAGCUGUGAGGGUUUC
rnacentral:pre_miRNA from 1 species